AAAUUCUUUUCUGCUAUUUUUGGCUUCCUUUAAAUUCUUUUGUAAUUCCUGAAAGUUUGAAUUCAGUGAGCUCUCCAACCUGGCCUACUCUUUCACUAUGUCUGGCUCUAGCUUUUCCUUCCUAGAGCCAAGAACGCCCUGGUGGCUCAUGUUACUUCUUCGCUGGCAGGAGACGAGAAAGUCCCUGUUUAUCAUCUUGCUCAUGUGGUCACGCAGCAUGCACCACCACCGCACCAGCUCUGCUUUUCCCAAUCUCUUAAUCCCAAUCCUAAGAACCCCAGAAAACCCUAGCUGUUUUCCCUUUUCCUCUCAGGCCGCCGCCAGCUCUCCCUCCCUUUCUCUUUUCUCUCCAAGAGGACCUAGCACCACCACCAAGCUCGCCGUCGCCCCACCGUAUUGUACAACCCGGCGUCCAACCAACGCCACCAGAAGCUGCGUCACGUCGCCAGGAUCGUCCUCGCGCAAGGAAUCGUCCGGGGACGCCUCGUACCGACAGCAAAUCGCCGAUUCUUCUUCGACUCCGGCGAGGAAAUCAACGUUUUCCGGCGCCACCGCUUCGUCCCCGUCUCCAACGAGCGCUCCGCUGUUUUCCUGCUCUCCUUGUGCCCAAGGUCGCCACCAUGUCCAUCGUCUCCGUCCACGGUGACCCUCCAACCCGUGCGUGUUCCUGGCGUCUGCGUCUGCGUCUCCGACUCGUAUGACUACAGCAACAACCUCCUGCAUUUGCUUCUUCUCGGAUAGGAUCUCGAAAUGGUGUGGUGAGAUACGACGAGUUCUUCGGAUGUCCCUCGGCAAGCUUUAACAG